CAUACUUGUGAGGUUGGCCCCAAACCCAAUCUUUCUUUUUCCUGAGUAAACCAACUGCACAGCAAACAGGAGAGGUACACAGGAGUGGUGUCCAUGCAGCGGAGGCAAGACGGACCCGGAAGACUGCAGCUAAGGUAAAGCAGUUUAUUUUUAAAAUUACUUACCGGUAGCGGGCAGCGGUGUUUUUUUUUCCUCUUUCAGAGAAGGAGCGGGAGCAUCAGAGGAAGUGACGAGGACCAGAGGGGCAGCCGGGAAGGAAAGCAGUGACCAUAUAUAUCAGCAAGGCGGCUUAACCCGAGACUCUACAACUGUAGUGUCUCCCAUCCGCCCUCCUCCUCUAACCUAGUUAAUAAGGUAUCUUUUCACUUCAAUAUGAGAGUCAUCAUGUCCGUCACAGAAGUUGAUCCAUUACUGCUAAAUAACCCACUUUGAAAAUUGCACAAGUCAAUGAACAGCAUUAUAGUUACAUGAAGGCUGAAAGAGUGGGAAGACAAAAUUCUUGUCGUGCAACAGCAGCAUCCUUGCCUCUUAGACAGAAUGUCUUGGUUCAAAUCCCAUUCCAGGGUUCGGUGGUCAAACAAGUCAAGUGUCAAGUUCCAAAUCCUGCCAAUGCACAAUAAUAGGAGAGUUUCCAAUUGAGCCAUAAGAUGCUAUAAUCUUCGUGUCUGGAAUCAAUUAUUCACAAAGUCUGGGAUUCGUCAUUCACAAAGUCUGGAUAAGGGCAUCGUUGGCUAAGCCAGCAUUUAUUGCCCAUCCCUAAUUGUCCAGAGGGGAGUUAAGAGUCAACCCUAUUGCUGUGGGUCCGGAGUCACAUGGAGGCCAGACCAGGUCUCCAGUGCUGAACUGUAACUCACCAUGCCGCGGGAUCUUCAUACACGUUCGCCCAGUGCCAAAGAAUCCUACAGGGCAGCGUCCACAAGCAAAACCAACAGAAGGUGGUUUCCGAUCAAAGCACUGUACUCCUGGGAAGCAGGGUUUAUUUGCACAAGUAAUUGUGUUCUGUGGGACAGAG